UUGUUAUAAUGCCAUAUGUGAAUAUGUGAAUACAAUGGACAGUGUCUUCCUAAUGCUAACUGUCCUAAUAAUGGAACCCCUAAUCCUAUGAAUGGGAAUGAAUGUGAAUGUCCUCACAAUUUUGGAGGCAGCAACUGCAGAGAUUGUUUGCUAACUGUUACUGACUGUCAGAACCAAUAUCUAUUAAAUCAAACAAGCUGUCGCUGUGAAGCAUGUCCCUCUGGUUAUUAUCAAUUCCUUGCUAAUCCAGAAUCAAGAGUGCCAGAGAGUGUUGUUGGAUCACCAGGUAA